UGACGAGUCCCAAACAGGACGAAACAGCUGUC
rfam:Echinostoma caproni strain Egypt genome assembly, scaffold: ECPE_scaffold0001287